ACCCGCACAAGCGGUGGAUGAUGUGGUUAAUUCGAUGCAACGCGAAAACCUUACCACCUUUGACAUGUACGGAACCCUUUAGAGAUAGAGGAGUGCUCGAAAGAGAGCCGUAACACAGGUGCUGCAUGGCUGUCGUCAGCUCGUGUCGUGAGAUGUUGGGUUAAGUCCCGCAACGAGCGCAACCCUUGUCAUUAGUUGCUACAUUCAGUUGGGCACUCUAAUGAGACUGCCGGUGACAAACCGGAGGAAGGUGGGGAUGACGUCAAGUCCUCAUGGCCCUUAUAGGUGGGGCUACACACGUCAUACAAUGGAUGGUACAAAGGGUCGCCAACCCGCGAGGGGGAGCCAAUCCCAUAAAGCCAUUCGUAGUCCGGAUCGCAGUCUGCAACUCGACUGCGUGAAGUCGGAAUCGCUAGUAAUCGUGGAUCAGAAUGUCACGGUGAAUACGUUCCCGGGUCUU
rnacentral:rRNA from 1 species